GAGGAUGCUGUGAGUAAAGGCGAGAAGACGUCAACAUGUCUGAAGGACAGGGCGAUAAAAGUGACAGAUACUCUGGAUGCACAGAAUUUGCAGUGGAUGAGGUGACAGCUUGUGCUAAAGAAGAGACAAAGGUAAGCA
ensembl:antisense